AGGGAUAUAGUGUAAUGGCAACACAUAGGAAUUUGACUCCUGCGUUCUUAGUUCGAAUCUAAGUGUCCCUGCCA
rnacentral:tRNA from 1 species